ACCACAGACAUCACAAAGAAAUGACCAACCUGCUUCAGACAUGAAGCAGGAAGUGGCAAAUGCUGAGAACACAAAUCAACAGUCUGCAGAAACUGACAAGACAAAUGAGCCAAUGGAGCAGAGUCCAUCUGAGUCAAGUGAGCAGGUUAGAAGAGGAGAAGUCCAGGGUGUUGAUUCGACGUGGAAAAAGUUCUACGUCCACUUGGCCGGAAAAACUAACAACGCUCAUCGAGAGGCUGUUAAAAAGUUUAAAAGAAUCGACAAAAGAGACACAAGUCUCUGCAGAAAGUGACUACAUUCUGGUUUUCUGUCCCAUUGUUUCACGAGUCGGGACGGACAUCGGAGAGGCCCUGGAGAGCACU